UACGAAGGGGGCUAGCGUUGUUCGGAAUUACUGGGCGUAAAGGGCGCGUAGGCGGCGCUGUAAGUGGGAUGUGAAAGACCUGGGCUUAACCUGGGAAGUGCAUUUCAGACUGCAGUGCUAGAGUGCGAGAGAGGAAAGUGGAAUGACGCAUGUAGAGGUGAAAUUCGUAGAUAUUGGGAAGAACACCGGUGGCGAAGGCGGCGAGCUGGUCCAUUACUGACGCUGAGGCGCGACAGCGUGGGGAGCAAACAGGAUUAGAUACCCUGGUAGUCCACGCCGUAAACGAUGUGCGCUGGAUGUUGGGUGGCCUAGCCACUCAGUGUCGUAGCUAACGCGGUAAGCGCACCGCCUGGGGAGUACGGCC
rnacentral:rRNA from 1 species